rnacentral:rRNA from 1 species
AGCGAACGCUGGCGGCAGGCCUAACACAUGCAAGUCGAACGGACCCUUCGGGGUUAGUGGCGGACGGGGGAGUAACACGUGGGAACGUGCCUUUAGGUUCGGAAUAGCCCCUGGAAACGGGUGGUAAUGCCGAACGUGCCCUUCGGGGGAAAGAUUUAUCGUCUUUAGAGCGGCCCGCGUCUGAUUAGCUAGUUGGUGAGGUAAUGGCUCACCAAGGCGACGAUCAGUAGCUGGUCUGAGAGGAUGACCAGCCACAUUGGGACUGAGACGCGGCCCAAACUCCUACGGGAGGCAGCAGUGGGGAAUCUUGCGCAAUGGGCGAAAGCCUGACGCAGCCAUGCCGCGUGGAUGAUGAAGGUCUUAGGAUUGUAAAAUCCUUUCACCGGUGAAGAUAAUGACUGUAGCCGGAGAAGAAGCCCCGGCUAACUUCGUGCCAGCAGCCGCCGUAACAC